GGACUACCGGGGUUUCUAAUCCCAUUCGCUCCCCACGCUUUCGUCUCUCAGUGUCAGGAAUGUUCCAGUAAGCUGCCUUCGCCUUUGGUGUUCUUGCCGAUAUUAACGCAUUUUACUACUACACCGGCAAUUCCGCUUACCUCUCCCAUCCUCUAUCCAGAUAGUUUCCUAGGCUUGUCCAUCGUUGAGCGAUGGGAUUUAACCAAGGACUUGCCUGGACACCUACAGACUCUUUACGCCCAAUAAAUCCGGAUAACGCUCGGGGUCUCUGUAUUACCGCGGCUGCUGGCAC
rnacentral:rRNA from 1 species